rnacentral:rRNA from 1 species
GACCUUCUUUGACCUUUUGACCUCAAAUCAGGUAGGACUACCCGCUGAAC